CGCGUGGUUAUAUUUUGUUGGUUUUUAGAACCGCCGUAAUGAUUAAUAGGGACAGUCGGGGGCAUCUGUAUUCAAUUGUCAGAGGUGAAAUUCUUGGAUCUGUUGAAGACAAACUACUGCGAAAGCAUUUGCCAAGGAUGUUUUCAUUGAUAAGGAACGAAAGUUAGGGGAUCGAAGACGAUCAGAUACCGUCGUAGUCUUAACUAUAAACUAUGCCGACUAGGGAUCGGACGAUGUUAUUUUUUGACUCGUUCGGCACCUUUCGAGAAAUCAAAGUGCUUGGGCUCCAGGGGGAGUAUGGUCGCAAGGCUGAAACUUAAAGAAAUCGACGGAAGGGCACCACCAGGGGUGGAACCUGCGGCUUAAUUUGACUCAACACGGGGAAACUCACCAGGUCCAGACACAGUGAGGAUUGACAGAUUGAUAGCUCUUUCUUGAUUCUGUGGGUGGUGGUGCAUGGCCGUUCUUAGUUGGUGGAGUGAUUUGUCUGCUUAAUUGCGAUAACGAACGAGACCUUAACCUGCUAAAUAGCCCGUAUUGCUUCGGCAGUACGCUGGCUUCUUAGAGGGACUAUCGGCUCAAGCCGAUGGAAGUUUGAGGCAAUAACAGGUCUGUGAUGCCCUUAGAUGUCCCGGGCCGCACGCGCGUUACACUGACAAAGCCAGCGAGUAUUUCCUUAGCCAGAAGGCUUGGGUAAUCUUGUUAAACUUUGUCGUGC
rnacentral:rRNA from 1 species